UACGUAGGGGGCAAGCGUUGUCCGGAAUCAUUGGGCGUAAAGAGCUCGUAGGCGGCCACUCAAGUCGAAUGUGAAACCUCGAGGCUUAACCUCGAGCCUGCAUUUGAUACUGGGCGGCUAGAGUCUGGUAGGGGGAUCUGGAAUUCCUGGUGUAGCGGUGGAAUGCGCAGAUAUCAGGAGGAACACCGGUGGCGAAGGCGGGAUCCUGGGCCAGUACUGACGCUGAGGAGCGAAAGCGUGGGGAGCAAACAGG
rnacentral:rRNA from 1 species